CAAGCGUCUGGGGUAAGGAGUCACUGCCAUCAGCCCCACUGAUGAGUCUCCUAGACAGUGACUCCAAGAUGAAACGCAUC
rnacentral:hammerhead_ribozyme from 17 species